UCACGUUUCCAGGUUGUCUGGAAGACUGAAGGGAGGGAGGGACGGGGACACAUAUGCCAGUCUGCAGCUCCCCAACAUCAGCCCUGAAUAUGACGUGCUGCAGGUAAAAAAACAAGUAUCAUGAAGACACUGUGACUUCACAAGAAGAGGACAAUGACUACCAGAACCUUUGAAAUGGAAACUGAGACCAGUUGCUGUGUCUCAAAAAUAUAAGCACAUUGUGUUUCCUUAAAACCUGUUGUCUGAAGAAAAUAACCACUGAAUGUGGAGUGUCACCUUUCUGUAUUUGUCCACAAGGCAUUUUUAUGUGAGGAGAUGUUCAUUUUGUUUCUUGGAGAAAAGAACUUUGAUGCAUCUUUAUUUUUCAUCCUCUUUACACAAUCAUUUUUGCUCACUGUACUUUACUGACCCUGUCCCUGUUCUGAUUUAAUGACUGUUGUGCACCUUCGUAUUUCACAUACAUUAGGCAGUUAUGGAGAACACGAAAAUGUUUCAUUCUAUUCCUCAAAUGGAAUAUAAAAAAGGAAAAAUAAAU